rnacentral:rRNA from 1 species
UAGGGAAUCUUCCGCAAUGGACGCAAGUCUGACGGAGCAACGCCGCGUGAGUGAAGAAGGAUUUCGGUUCGUAAAACUCUGUUGUUAGAGAAGAACAGCGCAUAGAGUAACUGUUAUGCGUGUGACGGUAUCUAACCAGAAAGCCACGGCUAACUACGUGCCAGCAGCCGCGGUAAUACGUAGGUGGCAAGCGUUGUCCGGAUUUAUUGGGCGUAAAGCGAGCGCAGGCGGUCAAUUAAGUCUGAUGUGAAAGCCCCCGGCUCAACCGGAGAGGGUCAUUGGAAACUGGUUGACUUGAGUGCAGAAGAGGAGAGUGGAAUUCCAUGUGUAGCGGUGAAAUGCGUAGAUAUAUGGAGGAACACCAGUGGCGAAGGCGACUCUCUGGUCUGUAACUGACGCUGAGGCUCGAAAGCGUGGGUAGCAAACAGG